CCUUAAUCCUUGCAGCUGACAUAAGUCACUGAGUCAGUCAAACCUUCAAUAACACAUGUUUGUUGUUAGAGUCAAAGGA
rnacentral:pre_miRNA from 1 species